rnacentral:rRNA from 1 species
GGGGAAUAUUGCACAAUGGGGGAAACCCUGAUGCAGCGACGCCGCGUGAGUGAAGAAGUAUUUCGGUAUGUAAAGCUCUAUCAGCAGGGAAGAUAAUGACGGUACCUGACUAAGAAGCCCCGGCUAACUACGUGCCAGCAGCCGCGGUAAUACGUAGGGGGCAAGCGUUAUCCGGAUUUACUGGGUGUAAAGGGAGCGUAGGCGGUCCGAUAAGUCUGGUGUGAAAGCCCGGGGCUCAACCCCGGGACUGCAUUGGAAACUAUCGGACUUGAGUGUCGGAGAGGUAAGUGGAAUUCCUAGUGUAGCGGUGAAAUGCGUAGAUAUUAGGAGGAACACCAGUGGCGAAGGCGACUUACUGGACGAUAACUGACGCUGAGGCUCGAAAGCGUGGGGAGCAAAC